rnacentral:rRNA from 1 species
ACAGCAGCAGCCGCGGGAAUACGAAGGGGGCUAGCGUUGCUCGGAAUUACUGGGCGUAAAGGGAGCGUAGGCGGGUCGUUUAGUCAGAGGUGAAAUCCCGGGGCUCAACCUCGGAACUGCCUUUGAUACUGGCGACCUUGAGUAUGGGAGAGGUGAGUGGAACUCCGAGUGUAGAGGUGAAAUUCGUAGAUAUUCGGAAGAACACCAGUGGCGAAAGCGACUCACUGGCCCAUUACUGACGCUGAGGCUCGAAAGCGUGGGGGGCAAACAGGAUUAGAUACCCCAGUAGUCCCUGUCUCUUAUAC